rnacentral:lncRNA from 1 species
GCCUCAUCUUGAAAUGAAAUUUUAGCUCAUCCUCUUAUAUCCUGAAGUGUUAUCAUUAGUUGUUGAUUCGUUAUUUACAUACAACAACAGCAACAAAAAAUUUUGAUGUGUCCUAUUUCUCUAGUAAGCCCAGUAAAAUUAUAAGGGCUUAAAGAGCAGACAAAAUAGAAGAUAGAGAAAUAGACAGAAGAAAAAUGAAAGGAAGAAAGGAGAAAAUACAGGAGCUACAGCAAGAUGCCUGUUUCUAACCUAGCCUUUGGAAGACUGCAUGCUCUCCUGGAUCCCGGCAGCACUGGAACAGAAGCAUUAGGAAAACUUGGGCUGUUGUUGCUGAGACUGGGACAUGAGCUGGGAGAGUGCUUUCAUAGCCAGGGUUGAGAAAUGAGUGAGGCAUGGGCUGUGGCUGCCAGUGCUGAAAAGUGAACACCACCAACACUGAGAUUAGUACGCAGUGGGCAUGAGUCGCCACUUGGACCUAGUUGCAAGCUGGGCAGGGACUCCUAUCACCAGAGCUGAGGUAUUAUGGGAGAUAGGCUGGGACAGAGAAGGAAAGCCAGGAAGAAGAGACAGCAUGAGCAAAAGCAUGAAGAUCAGAAUUCAAAGAGGAUGCUGCUAAGGAACUACAGACAGAGUCUUGCUAUGUUGCCCAGUCUGGUCUCAAACUCCUGGCCUGAAGCAAUCCUACCUUGACCUCCCAAAGUGCUGGGAUUACAGGACACAGCAAGAAGGCAGCCAUCUGCAGGCCAGGAAGAGAGCUUGCCCAUGCUGGCACCCUGAUCUGGGACUUUUCCUGUCACUGGAACUGAAAAAUAAAUACAUGUUGCAUAAGCCAC